CCCUCUCUCCCUCUCCCUCUCUCUCUCUGAUGACCUCUCCAGCUAAUUGUCUGAAGUCUCUUAGCUUUAAGAAUGUAGAGGAGGAGGAGGAUGUGACGUCAGUGACUGACGGACCAAUCAGGCCAGGCCGUGGUGACUGACGGACCAAUCAGGCCAGGCCGUGGUCCAGCGGUAAGGAGACCCUCCCUGGAGGUAUUUAAUAGGUCAGAGCGGCUGCAGACCAGUAGACACCAGUAUCCAGUAGAGACCAGUAUCCAGUAGAGACCGGUGUUCAGUAGAGACCAGUAGACAAGCUGCGCCUCUAACCUAAGGUAAGACACCAUUUCAAACCAAUCGAUACCAGUAGACAACCCUGCUAGGUAUAGACCAGUAUUCAGCAGAGACCAGUUAUCAGAAGAGACCAGUAGACGAUGCUUCUAGAGAUCAGGAGAUACCAUCAGAGACCAUUAGUGACCAGUUAGCAGAGGAGAACAGUAGACAAUGCUUCCGACACCCUCUUUAAGAGACCAGGAGAGACCAGUAUACAGUAAAGACCAAGAGGGAACCAGUUGACAAUGCUUACAGAGACCAGGAGAGGAGGACAACGCUCCUAAAGACAGGUAGAAACCAGUUUAGAGUAGAGACAUGUAGAAACCAGUGUACAGUAAAGAACAGUUAAAUUAAGACCAGUAUAACUAAGACCGUGCGUGAUGCUACUAAAGAACCAAAUUACUAACAUUAAACUUUUUGGCCCCGUAAAAUCUGUAAAAUAAACUGUAAAAAACAUACUUUUGUGUUAUCAUUUAUUGUUUGUUGUUAGUGUGUCUGAGCCAGUAGAUCUGAGUGUGAGCCAGCAGCAGAGUGUGUGUGUGUGUGAGCCAGCAGCAGAGUGUGUGUGUGUGAGCCAGCAGCAGAGUGUGUGUGUGAGCCAGCAGCAGAGUAAGUGUGUGUGUGUGUGUGAGCCAGCAGCAGUGUGUGUGUGUGUGUGUGUGUGUGUUCCAGCAGCAGUGUGUGUGAGGGUGUAACGCGUCUCUCCCCAGAUGUGGUGUCGGUGGAGCCCCCAGUGUACCCUCCUGCUCUCCCUGCUCCUGCUGACCGCGGCCCC
ensembl:lncRNA